rnacentral:rRNA from 2 species
GUAACGGCGAGUGAAGCGGUAACAGCUCAAAUUUGAAAUCUGGCUCUUUCAGGGUCCGAGUUGUAAUUUGUAGAAGAUGCUUCGGGUGUGGCUCCGGUCUAAGUUCCUUGGAACAGGACGUCAUAGAGGGUGAGAAUCCCGUAUGUGACUGGUUGCCUUCGCCCAUGUGAAGCUCUUUCGACGAGUCGAGUUGUUUGGGAAUGCAGCUCUAAAUGGGUGGUAAAUUUCAUCUAAAGCUAAAUAUUGGCCAGAGACCGAUAGCGCACAAGUAGAGUGAUCGAAAGAUGAAAAGCACUUUGGAAAGAGAGUUAAACAGUACGUGAAAUUGUUGAAAGGGAAGCGCUUGCAACCAGACUUGCACCCCGUCGAUCAUCCCCCGUUCUCGGAGGUGCACUCGGCGGGGUUCAGGCCAGCAUCGGUUUCGGUGGUGGGAUAAAGGCCUUGGGAACGUAGCUCCUCUCGGGGAGUGUUAUAGCCCUCGGUGCAAUGCCGCCUACCGGGACUGAGGACCGCGCUUCGGCUAGGAUGCUGGCGUAAUGGUUG